GGGAAAGUUGUGGCGCAGAGGUUUGGACAAGGCGAGCCAGCACAUGAAACUUGGGCGGAAAAGGUGCAUCAUCCCAGUGAAACUUCACCUGCUACAGUCCUGGGUCACAYCCAACACAGCGCCAGAACUGAGAGCCCACUUGCCCACCUCCAUACCUCAUGAAUGAGUGAAACAACAAAAAAAUUUUAUAAGUUGGAGAUGCUAUCCAUCCAUCCAUCCAUCCAUCCAUCCAUCCAUCCAUCCAUCCAUCCAUCCAUCC